rnacentral:tRNA from 1 species
UGGGGUAUAGUAUAAAGGUUAAUGCAUUUGUUUUGGGUACAAGAAAUUAUAGGUUCGAGUCCUGUUACCCUAA